rnacentral:rRNA from 1 species
UACGUAGGGGGCAAGCGUUGUCCGGAUUUAUUGGGCGUAAAGAGCGUGUAGGCGGCCAGACAGGUCCGUUGUGAAAACUCGAGGCUCAACCUCGAGAUGUCGAUGGAAACCGUCUGGCUAGAGUCCGGAAGAGGAGUGUGGAAUUCCUGGUGUAGCGGUGAAAUGCGCAGAUAUCAGGAGGAACACCAAUGGCGAAGGCAGCUCGCUGGGACGGUACUGACGCUAAGGCGCGAAAGCGUGGGGAGCAAACAGG